AUCAGCAGCUAUCACUCUGCAGCUCUCGCCUUGUCGCCUACUGAAGCUACACAGGGUUGAGCCUGGUCAGUACCUGGAUGGGAGACCUCCUGAGAAAACUAAGUUGCUGUUGGAA
ensembl:rRNA 5S_rRNA 5S ribosomal RNA